rnacentral:rRNA from 1 species
UACGGAGGGUGCGAGCGUUAAUCGGAAUUACUGGGCGUAAAGCGCAUGCAGGUGGAUAAUUAAGUCAGAUGUGAAAGCCCGGGGCUCAACCUUGGAUGGUCAUUUGAAACUGGUUAUCUAGAGUACUGUAGAGGGGGGUAGAAUUUCAGGAGUAGCGGUGAAAUGCGUAGAUUUCUGAAGGAAUACCGGUGGCGAAGGCGGCCCUCUGGACAGAUACUGACACUCAGAUGCGAAAGCGUGGGUAGCAAACAGG